GGGGCCGCCCCCCCCGCCGCCACCGCCAUGGCGGCCGCCGCCUCCUCCUUGCGCUUCUGCUCCACGUCGCGGAUGAUGUCGACCACGUCGUCGGCCGGCAGGUGGAGGCGGCUGGACAGCUCGAUCAGCUGGUCGAUGGUGCCGGGGUCCAACGGCGUCUUCGCCGUUGGGCGCGUUGGCGCGGUUGAAGAGGUCGUCACGGUUGGGGAUGUCACCGCGGUUGAAGAUGUCACCACGGUUGGGGACAUUGGCACGGUUGGGGACGUUGGCGUGGAAGGGGACGUCAUCACGGUUGACACCAUCACCACGGUUGGGGACAUCGUCACGCAUGGAGAUGUCCCCGCGCACGGAGAUCUCGUUGGCCAUGGGGACCUCGUUGGCCGUUGGGAUCUUCUUGCCCAGGAAGAUCCUGCUGCCCACCGGGGUCUUCUUGCCCAUGAAGACCUCGUUGGCCAUGGGGACCUCGUUGGUCAUGGGGACCUCGUUGGUCAUCGGGAUUUCGUUGGUCAUCGGGAUCUCAUUGUCCAUCGGGAUCUCAUUGGUCAUGGUCAUGGGGAUCUCGUUGGUCAUGGGGACUUCGUUGACCAUGGGGACCUCGUUGGCCAUCGGGAUCUCAUUGUCCAUGGGGAUCUCGUUGUCCAUGAGGAACCCGUUGCCUACGGGGAUCUCCUGACCCAUUGGGAUCUUCUGACCCAUGGGGAUCUCCUGACCCAUUGGGAUCAUCUUGCCCAUUGGGAUCUCCUUGCCCAUGGGGACCUCCCCCCCCAUGGCGAUCUUCUUCCCCAUGGGGAUCAUCUUGCCCAUGGGGACCUCCUCGCCCAUCGGGAUCUUCUUCCCCAUGGAGAACCCUUUCCCUAUCGGGGUCACCUUCCCCAUUGGGGUCACCUUCCCCAUUGGGGUCACCUUCCCCAUUGGGGUCACCUUCCCCAUGGAGAUCACCCUCCCCGCUCCCCCCACCUCCCCCCUUCCUUCCUCCUCCUCCUCGCUCUCGCUCCCGCUUGGCCUCCGCUCGCAGCCUCCCCAGCUCCUCCAGCUCCUUCAGGACUUCGUUUGGU
rnacentral:lncRNA from 1 species